rnacentral:rRNA from 1 species
GGUUUGGUGGUCAUAGCACAAGUGAAACACCCGAUCCCGUUCCGAUCUCGGCAGUUAAGCACUGUCGCGCCGAUGGUACUGCGUCUUAAGGCGUGGGAGAGUAGGUCACCGCCAAACCU